GUAGGUGGCAAGCGUUGUCCGGAAUUAUUGGGCGUAAAGCGCGCGCAGGCGGUUCUUUAAGUCUGAUGUGAAAGCCCACGGCUCAACCGUGGAGGGUCAUUGGAAACUGGAGAACUUGAGUACAGAAGAGGAAAGCGGAAUUCCACGUGUAGCGGUGAAAUGCGUAGAGAUGUGGAGGAACACCAGUGGCGAAGGCGGCUUUCUGGUCUGUAACUGACGCUGAGGCGCGAAAGCGUGGGGAGCAAACAGGAUUAGAUACCCUGGUAGUCCACGCCGUAAACGAUGAGUGCUAAGUGUUAGGGGGGUUCCCCGCCCCCCUUAGUGCUGCAGCUAACGCAUUAAGCACUUCGCCUGGGAGUACGGCCGCAAGGCUG
rnacentral:rRNA from 1 species